UCUCUUGUGGCUGGACUGUGCUUUGGGCCAAGAGCUGAAAUCACUGAGAGCUGAGAUCAUUACGUUUGGCCCAGAGUCAAAUCCACCAUAAGCCAGUGGAAAAUGCAACAAGCAGCAUGAGCAGCCAACAGGGUGGUAAUGGAGAGGCAUGAGGAGCAGCUAGCAGAGUGGCAGCAGCAAAGGACAACCAAUGGUGAAGCGUGAGGAACAGCCAGCAGACCAGCAACAGUGAGGGGCAACGAAUGACCAGCAGAGCAGCACCAGAGAGCAGCAAGCAGGCGGAUGAUUCUGUGCUUGCGAGUGGGGAAGCACUGCCGCUCAGAGGUGCCCAGAAGGUUGUGUGAAUUUCCCAGGUUACUGGGUAGGCCGUAAGCCAGUUCUGUGUUGGAAGGAUGGAGAGGAACCCCUAGAUAUUGAAGUUGGCCCUGACUGCUACUGGAACUGCCUGGCAGGGAUCACGCCAAGCCUAGAAAGCUAUAAAACAUAAAAUGUGGAAUAGUACAUUACAAGUCAAUAUAUCAUUAUAAUGGGAGAAACAUCUCCGAUUCUCUUUUCUGAAGGAACAACCUAAAGGAAGGGAAAACAGAAGUUGUGAGAAUUGAUUCUAUCCAAUGAAUAAAAGGCCUGCAUGAAAUGUCUGUUUUUUGCCUGCUGAAAGGGGCUCAUCUAGAACUAAUCCUACCUGGUACCUGACAAUCUAAUGUGA